GGCGGCCCCCUCCACACCCCGCGGGCCCCCGGACCCCGCCGGGCUGCUGCACCCCCUCCCCUUCGGGGGCGCCUCUGGCGCCGAGCGGGGAACCGGAGGCCCGCAGAAGUGGAAGCCCCGGAGAGACUUUAAGCAGCGGGACCCCGGGACUCCUCCGCAAGAGAGACACAAAGCUUCGGGGCUGGAGGAGCUGAGCUGAGGAUCAGCACGUUGGAGGGGACCGGGAACUCCGCACACAAAGGACGCUCCACUUGGCUGGCAGCCACGGUGUCACGAGUGGAGAAGGGGCAGGACGGGGGGUGAUGAAAGAGGAACAGUGUCACCUCCAGAAUGCUUCCAUCCCUCCGGGACAUCUAUCUUCUCCAAGCCCCAACCAUGAAAGAAACUUCCAAAUUAGCAGAUAUCGCUGAGAACCUAAGUUGUUCCAGGCACUGAUAGAGAGGUGUGAGUAGCAUGGUAUAAAAAGUCAUGAACGAAUUCACAUGAGGCAGUAGAAGAUGCACGUCUUCUCAUGGGAGAACUUCUAGAGGACUAAAGAUGAGGUUACUGGCCUCUUUUAUUCUUUUCAUGAUGCCCACCCAUUCCUGUGAAUGACUCCUGUAGCAUCACUAAAAUGUCAUCUCCAGCUUGUUCUCCAGGAAGGAUGAACGUGUGGAAGCUGGCAUUUGAUUUCUUCCUGCUGGCUACUGACCUUAGAGAGACAGCAUGGACAGUGUGGAUACUCACUCUAACAUCAGGC